ACAUUGUACACCUUUAAAAAAAAAAAUGGUGAAAUCAAAUCAAAGACCAUAAAUGAAACGUCAUCCACAAGAUUUUUUUCGCAACGGUGUCGGGGAUCACAAUCACUGUCAUUUACUCACGUAUGGUGGUCAAUGGAGGAAAAACUCACUUGGGCCCUUUGCAAGCAGAAUGAGUGUCACUUCCGAAUGCCAGCCGGAGAGAGUGAAGCCUUGAUGAGGUUUUUAAGAUAUACACUGACCUGGCUACAUUCAGAGAAGAAGAGUCCCGCUCAGCCAGAGCAGGAGAGUUUUGUGGCAAGUUGGAACAGCUCCAGACUUUGAAACAUAACCUUGACCUUGUGAAAGACACAGAGGACAAUGAGACUAUCCUCCAGAACACUUAUGACCCUGACCAGGGCAGCCCUUGUUUCACCAAGAACAAGCUCAGGGAGAGGGAGUUAGCAGAGAAGGUCAACAACAACAACGGGAACCAGGACUAGGAGAAGGAGCAGCCAACCAAAGGAAAGAGGAAGAGUGGAGGGAGCUGCCUCCAGCCUCAGUGCAGCAGGAGGACACUUAUAACACUUAGAUCGACCAGACUGACAAUAAUGCAGGAAAUGCCAAAACAGCCAAAUCCAAGGCCUCCUUGGAGUCAGAAGGUCCUGGGAAUAUACAUAGGAGAAAGAAUAACAAAGGGAAGAGGAGAGGAGGAGGUGUCUGGGGCCCAGAGUGGGCAAGGAUGAGUUACUCCAUGAGUACCGGUAGCAGAUGGCACAGGAAGUGGAGAGGGCCACCGUGAAGAAGACUGUACACAAGAAGUCAACAACGGACAAGACCAACGCUGCUCCUCAGGAAGCAGUAACAUUAAACAAUGAAGGUGCAAAGAAGAAAUAGAACAAGCUGAGGUCGUCAUUGGAUUCUGCGAGGGAGACGAGGUGUGUAGAAGUCUUGCAGGAUGAACUUUCAGAACUCCAGUGAGGUUUGCAUGAACCUGUAAGGAAGCAUAUGGUAGAAGAUCUGCAGAAUUGCCAGUCCGAGGACAUCACUGAGAGGAUGAGAUCCAAGGAGAAGAGUCAAGAGAGCCACGCCGAGGAGGAUGGAGUAGAAUCUUUAAAAUCCAAAGGCAAAAAAAAUAAGAGAAUAAAACAAGGUUGUGGGUACUAACUGAGUGCGGCGUAUCGACAGUAAACUGCAUCCACAGCUGUUCUGUCCUCCUCCUCGGAGCAAGAGACGAGACAAGACCAUGGAGGUGGUAGACUGCUGGAGGAGAUACCCCCCGUAACAGAUACACAUCCCCCCUUUACAUCACUGCAAAAGGCCUUAAACUACCCGAUCAUGUACUAGUAGUAGUAGUAGUAGUAGUAGUAGUAGUAGUAGUAGUAGUAGUAGUAGUAGUAGUAGUAGUAGUAGUAGUAGUAGUAGUAGUAGUAGUAGUAGUAGUAGUAGUAGUAGUAGUAGUAGAAGAAGUAGAAGUAGAAGUAGAAGAAGAAGAAAUCCAAUCUUUAUCAAUCGGCAGGUCCUUUUCUGUAUGCCAAGGAGUGAGCUGUGGUUUGGUCCGAGCUGCAGAGUGAGAUCACCAGGAGAAACGACACACAACCUGUGCUCCUUCGCUGGAGGGGAAUCUCUGUUGUAAGCAUCAUGUUCUAUCAUCAUGUUCUAUCAUCAUGUUCUACCAUCAUGUUCUACCAUCAUGUUCUACCAUGUUCUAUCACUGUUCUUUGUUUUAGUAUCUAACAGUAUCCAACUGCUUCCCAGCUCAAGUGUUGUCCAAUAGUUCUCCUCAAGUCGUGAUGAUACGUUGAGAAACACAACUUUGAGACAACAUUGACACCAUUUUCUGUGGUGGUUGUGUGUUUGCCAGAAAAUGCCAUUAAAUUGUCUUCAGUUGUGUUAUUUGAUGAAGUUGUAUAUGUGUUGUAUAUGUGUUGUAGGUGUGCCGGAUCCCCAAUAAGCCCAUGCUGUCGUUCCGUGGUGGUCAGAUGGGUUGUUUUACCGUGUGCUUCUCCCACAACGGCAGGAGGCCGGCUGCUGCAUGUGCUGACAGAGAAGCUUUUAACCACUCAUCAGAUCUCUCUCUAACCCUCACCCUACUCUACUGCCUUCUGUAUUUAGAUAGACGUGCCAAUCUACUUUACUUUACUUCUUGUUAUUCUUGUUAUUCUUGUGAUCCAAAGCCGAAUUGACCACCUGCAAAAACCUGCCCUCCUUAGUUACUUCUGCGAUAUCCGUCAAGUGUUUUGCUGCAAAGUGCAUUUUCCCAUUGAAGGGCUGAUGAUGAGAUUUCUGUGUAUUAGCGGUAUUAUUGAAGUAGCAUCUAAUAGUUUUUUUGUUUUUUGAUUCCUUCAGAAAAGGUGUUGGCUGCCUUCAAUGGCUACCAGAUCUCUGCUGGUCCAGAGACGACCGGAGUCUGCUGUCUACCUCCUGACGGCACCUUAAAAACACCCUGCCUGGGAAAGAGAGAUGGACCUGAACUCGAUCCUGCCUUCUCCGUCCCUCCUGCCACCACAUUACAAACUGCAGCUGGUUGGUUCCCUUGGAGCUCAGUUCAUCCCCCAGUCAACCUCCCAGAACCCUAGUUUCACCGCAGUGGGCGAGCGUCUAGGAAGAGCUUCAUCUCGCAGGCUACAGAACAAGUUAUCUGAUCAUCUGUCUACAGCCAAUAGAGUAGAAGCAGAUUCUUUGGUACCAGUUCAUCAAACGGUUUUCUCUUUGUAUGACUACAGUGCCCACCCGUCAGAUGAGUUAACUGUACCGUGUGGUGACUCCAUCCGUGUGCUCUACAAAGGCAACAGGUGGUUUGGACAUCAUGGAUACCUCCCAGCUACCUAUGUUGUGGAAGAGCGCAAGUAGAGUGAUAUAUCUGUUCUACAUUAAAAAAGUAUGUGCACUCAGCAGACACUUUUUUAUCUCACAAUCCCAGGGGAUUACAACGAGGAGCUGUCUCGUGCCCUAGAGGCCCAGUCUGCCCUGUCUGAAUGGACUGACCUAUCAGUCCCUCUGUCUGAACGGACUGACCAAUCAGAUGAGAGGUUGACGCCUACCAAGGUGUCUGUUUCCGUUGUCUCUGGAGAACUCAAGUUAAUUUCUGAGCUGGACACAGACCCUGAGCAGCCUGCUGCCACCAGAGUGAAGGAGAAAACAAAGAAGAAGUUCAAAGCUCCGUCAUCCCCACCACCAGCCACAUCCUCUGACCCUGAUGUCCCAGAAUCAUCAUCUACCAAGAGAAAAACCAAGGCUGCAGACAGCAAACCACUGACCCCCAGUCCCAGGAGAGGACAGUCCAAUAGUGCCUUCGAGCCUGAUACCUAGACCCAUGGAUCUAUGGUUAAGAGUACACUAAGAGUAAAGAGUUUAACGCUAAAUUCCUCGUUGAACAGAAGAUAACAAGUAUGUUUAUAAGGAAACUAUCCUGUAAAAGCUUAAACGUAUUGCUUUUUUCACUAAUAUGUUUUAAAUGUCUGUAUACAGUGCCCUCGGAAAAGUAUUCAGACCCGUUGACUUUUUGCCCAUUUUGUUACUUUACAGCCUUAUUCUAAAAUGUAUUAAAUCGUUUAUUUCCCCUCGUGAAUCUACACGCGAUACCCCAUAAUGACAAAGCAAAAACAGGUUUUUAAAAAUGAUCAACUGAAAUAUAACAUUUACAUAAGUAUUUUACUCAGUACUUUGUUGAAGCACCUUUGGCAGUGAUUACAUCCUCCAGUCUUCUUGGGUGUGAUGCUACAAGCUUGCCACACACCUGUAUUUGUGGAAUGUCCUUGAGUGGCCCAGCCAGAGCUUGGACUUGAACCAGAUCGAACAACUCGGGAGAGACCUGAAAACAGCUGUGCAGCGAUGCUCCCCAUCCAACCCGACAGAGCUUGACAGGAUCUGCAGAGAAUGGGAGAAAUUCCCCAAAUACAUGUGUUGUUCCAAGCUUGUAGCAUCAAACACAAGAAGACUCUAGACUCUAGGGUGUAAUCGUUGUCAAAGGUUCUUCAACAAAGUACUGAGUAAAGGGUCUGAAUACUUAUGUAAAUGUUAUUUCAGUUUUGUAUUUUUAAUACAUUUGCAAAAAUGUAUACAAUUCUGUUUCAUUAUGGGGUAUUGAUGAGGGGAAAAAAAACAACAAUUGAAUCAAUUUUAGAGUAAAGCUGUAACAUAAAAUGUGGAAGGGGUCCGAAUGCACUGUAGAUGGCAUUAUUUCAUCCAUGUACUCUAUAGUCUGUCCACAAUUCUAAUUCAAAAGGUACACCAUAUUUAAAUGGAAGGCUUAAGAUAAAAUGUACUGAAAACCCUUUUGAAUGUAAAUUCCACCAAAAAUCUGUUGGCCAGCAAGUGGGAACUUUUUCAGCAGUUGAAUUACAUUUAUUCAGCACACUCAAGGGAACCACUCCUGCAAAGCCUUUUACCAUCUUCAUGAAGUAAGCCUGAAUAUCAACUACUGAGAAGUGGAUUUGAAGGGCGUAAUAUCGGAAAUCGGGCCCUUUAUGAAUGAUUACAUUUGUGCAUUACAAAUAAAAAAAAUAUUGAAUUCAAAAUUAUAGAAUACAAAAUUAUCAAAUACAAUUUGUUGGCACUGAAAUCACUCCAUACAUGGAGUUCUGACCUCACUGUUUAGACAUCAUCCAUGUCGCAGAGAUUGGCGAAUGAGAGGCAUUUACAUAGUACUGCAUUUCAAUAUCGGUACAUAUUUACAUACCAGAUACUGUGUGUAUAUACACCCUUUGAGUUGUCAAGUAAAAAAUUAUUUUGUGAAACAUUCUCUUCCAAAAGCAAUGAUAUUUGGAAAUAGUUGGCAUGUAACUACAACUGAGAAGUAACUCAGACUGUAAAAGGACUAGGCUUACAUUAGUUACAUAUAUUCAAAUAUUAGUGUCCUUGAAUGAACUGCAUUUUAUAUCACUUAAUAAAUGGACAUAAAAUACUUGCUUGAUUGGUCCAUUUGAAAAUAUAUAUUAUUUUAUUUUAUUGCCGUCACUGAUAUGGUCAUUGGUCAAUCUACAUAGCCAUAAAGGAGGUUAACUAUUCAGACAUAACCCAUGUCAGGUGCUGUGAAGAUUGGAGAAUGAGGGGCAUUUACAUAGUACUGGAUUUCAAUGGGUGCAUAUUUAACAUGGCCAACUGAUAUGUAUAAAUGCCAUUUGAUUAUCGUCAAGUAAACAUUAUUUUGUGAAACAUUCCUGUUCCGAAGUACAUGGUGUGUUAAAAUGACUUUUAACAAACUAAUUAAAAUAGUUCCAAAGCUUUA